rnacentral:antisense_RNA from 1 species
GGUGGCAGGGAAAUUCGACUCCACAAACCACAGGCCUCGGCGGGGGAAGAGCACUGCGGGCGCCAGCGAAGCGAAACCAAACAGAGCCGCGGCACGCAGGCGCAAAGGCUGGCGCGCCGCUCCGCCGUGCAGGUGUUGGCGAAGCGCUCCUCCGAAAGGUUUCGGAAGCCGGUGGUAGCUCUGAAGAUAACGCUGCGUUAGGGCAUGCUGCGGCGCAGGAUGCAACUCCGAUUGAAAGCAGUUGCUGGAGUGGAGCACGAAUUUCAAAAAGCUGCAUGUUGAAGUGUGAGGCGUGAAAGGAUAUGUCUGAUAUUUGCUUUAAAAUGCCCCAGCAAAGAAAUUAAGGGAUGGAUGAAGCAAAACAGCCAGGUGUGGUGGCUCAUGCCUCUAAUCCCAGCAUUUUGGGAGGCCGAAGCAGGCAGAUCACCUGAGGUCAGGAGUUUGAGACCAUCCUGACCAACAUGGUGAAACUCGUCUCUACUACAAAUACAAAAAAAUUAGCCGGGUGUGGUACCAUGCACCUGUAAUCCCAGCUACGCUUCUGGAGGCUCAGACAGGAGAACUGCUUGAACCGGGAGGCGGAGGUUGCAGUGAGCUGAGAUCGCACCACUGCAUUCCAGCCUGGGCAACAGAGUGAGACUCCAUCUCAUUUAAAAAAAAAAAAAAAAAAAAGUAAAGAAAAAAAUAAAAUGUCUUUAUUUCAUUUUCUUUCCUAAAGAAUAUAUUUGCUGGAUAAAGGAUUCUGUGUUGACAGUUUUGUUGCUUUUUUAAAGCACUUUAUAAAUGUUGCUCCAUGGUUUCUGAUGAGAAAUCUACCAUCACUGAAAU